rnacentral:rRNA from 1 species
UACAGAGGUCCCAAGCGUUGUUCGGAUUCAUUGGGCGUAAAGGGUGCGUAGGCGGCGCGGUAAGUCGGGUGUGAAAUCUCGGGGCUUAACUCCGAAACUGCAUUCGAUACUGCCGUGCUUGAGGACUGGAGAGGAGACUGGAAUUUACGGUGUAGCGGUGAAAUGCGUAGAUAUCGUAAGGAAGACCAGUGGCGAAGGCGGGUCUCUGGGCAUCUCCUGACGCUGAGGCGCGAAAGCGUGGGGAGCAAAACGG